UGCGUAGGCGGGCUAAUAAGUCAGUGGUGAAAUCUCUCGGCUCAACCGGGAAACUGCCAUUGAUACUGUUAGUCUUGAGUUCGGUUGAGGUAGGCGGAAUGUGUAAUGUAGCAGUGAAAUGCUUAGAUAUUACACAGAACACCAAUUGCGUAGGCAGCUUACUAGACCGACACUGACGCUGAGGCACGAAAGCGUGGGGAGCGAACAGGAUUAGAUACCCUGGUAGUCC
rnacentral:rRNA from 1 species